GCUUGCUGCAUGCUUUAUACAUGCAAGUCGAACGGAGGCCCUAGCUUGCUAGGUGUCCUUAGUGGCGCACGGGUGAGUAACACGUGGGAACAUACCUUAUAGUACGGAAUAACUGCGGGAAACUGUAGCUAAUACCGUAUACUCCAGUAAUGGGAAAGAUUUAUCGCUAUAAGAUUGGCCCGCGCAAGAUUAGCUUGUUGGUGAGGUAAAAGCUCACCAAGGCUUCGAUCUUUAGCUGGUUUGAGAGGACGAUCAGCCACACUGGGACUGAGACACGGCCCAGACUCCUACGGGAGGCAGCAGUAGGGAAUAUUGGACAAUGGGGGAAACCCUGAUCCAGCAAUGCAGCGUGAGUGACGAAGGCCUUAGGGUUGUAAAACUCUUUCAUCGGUGAGGAUAAUGACAGUAGCCGAAGAAGAAGGACCGGCUAAUUCCGUGCCAGCAGCCGCGGUAAUACGGAAGGUCCUAGCGUUGUUCGGAAUUACUGGGCGUAAAGCGCAUGUAGGCGGAACAGAAAGUUAGAAGUGAAAUCCCUGGGCUCAACCUAGGAAUUGCUUUUAAAACUUCUGUUCUGGAAUUCAGGAGAGGAAAAUGGAAUUUCCAGUGUAGAGGUGAAAUUCGUAGAUAUUGGAAGGAACACCAGUGGCGAAGGCGAUUUUCUGGACUGAUAUUGACGCUGAGAUGCGAAGGCAUGGGUAGCAAACGGGAUUAGAUACCCCGGUAGUCCAUGCAGUAAACGAUGGGUGCUAGUCGUCGGACUUUUGUUCGGUGUCGUAGCUAACGCGUUAAGCACCCCGCCUGGGGAGUACGGUCGCAAGAUUACAAUGAUUCG
rnacentral:rRNA from 1 species